AUGACUUCUUGGCCUUGUGGCUAAGAUCAAGUGUAGAACAUGUUCUUGUUAGUUUAAUGUCUGAUAUAUCCUCUACUGAGAACAGUAUAGUAAAUGGAUUUUUGGAGCGGGGAGUUGGAAAGGAGCUUGCUGGGUCCACUCCAUGCAGAGCCGUGGUACUGCUAUAUCUCCAGGAACGGUGCACCCCUU
rnacentral:snRNA from 1 species